ACUAAUGAAGAAGAUGGAUGGAAUCAGAAAUUGAGAUGGCAGUGGUAUUAAAACAACGAGGGUGCGGGUAGCUCGCUCUUGGCUUCUACUCGCUCCGUUUCAAAUUGCAGGUCGUUUUGACUUUUCUAGAUUCAUAGUUAAUAUUCUAGACAUACAGUAUACCUAGAUGCAUAAUAUUCAUAAAUUAAAUAAACUAAAAUAAUCAACAAUUUGGAACGGAAGGAGUAGGUAGGGAAUUGUUUCCAUUCCUCUAUAAACUGCGGUGGUUUUGACUUUUCUAGAUUCAUAAUUAAUAUUCUAGACGAAUUAAAUAAACUAAUAUAAUUAAUAAUUUGGAACGGAAGGAGUAGGCUUUCCUCUAUAAACUGCGGUGCUUACUUAAAUGAUCGAGGGAGAGAGUAUGCACCUAAAUUCACAGUGGUAUCUUAAUAUAAAUCUCCAAAUCUUUGUGGUGGUAGGGAGGCUAGGGUACUCUGUAGCGCUAGAUACUCUAGGGGCUGCAAAUUUUUGGCUCUCAGGGUAAGAAUCUAAGGGAAGCAGAGAUUGGG
rnacentral:lncRNA from 1 species